rnacentral:rRNA from 1 species
AAGCGGAGGAAAAGAAACUAACAAGGAUUCCCCUAGUAACGGCGAGUGAAGUGGGAAAAGCUCAACUUUGAAAUCUGGUACUUUCAGUAUCCGAAUUGUAGUCUCAAGAAGUGUUUUCUGUGCCGGUCCAUGUAUGAGUCUGUUGGAACACAGCGUCAUAGAGGGUGACAACCCCGUUCAUGACAUGGAUCCCGGUGCUUUGUGAUACACUCUCGAAGAGUCGAGUUGUUUGGGAAUGCAGCUCAAAUUGGGUGGUAAAUUCCAUCUAAAGCUAAAUAUUGGCGAGAGACCGAUAGCAAACAAGUACCGUGAGGGAAAGAUGAAAAGCACUUUGGAAAGAGAGUUAACAGUACGUGAAAUUGUUGAAAGGGAAACGAUUGAAGUCAGACGUGCGUGAUGCGGUUCAGCUCUAGUUCGCUAGAGUGUACUCCGUAUCUUUGCAGGCCAACAUCGGUUUUGUUAGUCGGAUAAAGGUUUGAGAAAUGUGGCACCUUCGGGUGUGUUAUAGUCUCAGACUGAAUACGAUUGAUGGGACCGAGGAACGCAGCGCGCCGCAAGGCAAAGGUUCCGACCUUUUCGCGCUUAGGAUGUUGGUGAAAUGGCUUUAAACGACCCGUCUUGA